UAGGGAAUCUUCCACAAUGGACGCAAGUCUGAUGGAGCAACGCCGCGUGAGUGAAGAAGGUUUUCGGACCGUAAAGCUCUGUUGUUGGUGAAGAAGGAUAGAGGUAGUAACUGGCCUUUAUUUGACGGUAAUCAACCAGAAAGUCACGGCUAACUACGUGCCAGCAGCCGCGGUAAUACGUAGGUGGCAAGCGUUGUCCGGAUUUAUUGGGCGUAAAGCGAGCGCAGGCGGAACGAAUAAGUCUGAUGUGAAAGCCCUCGGCUUAACCGAGGAAUUGCAUCGGAAACUGUUUUCUUGAGUGCAGAAGAGGAGAGUAGAACUCCAUGUGUAGCGGUGGAAUGCGUAGAUAUAUGGAAGAAUACCAGUGGCGAAGGCGGCUCUCUGGUCUGCAACUGACGCUGAGGCUCGAAAGCAUGGGUAGCGAACAGGAUUAGAUACCCUGGUAGUCCAUGCCGUAAACGAUGAGUGCUAAGUGUUGGGAGGCUUCCGCCUCUCAGUGCUGCAGCUAACGCAUUAAGCACUCCGCCUGGGGGAGUACGACCGCAAGGUUGAAAC
rnacentral:rRNA from 1 species